CACUGCCGAGAAAAGCCUCUAGAUAGAAAAUAGGUGCCCGUACCGCAAACCGACACAGGUAGUCAAGAUGAGAAUUCUAAGGUGAGCGAGCGAACUCUCGUUAAGGAACUCGGCAAAAUGACCCCGUAACUUCGGGAGAAGGGGUGCUCUUUAGGGUUAACGCCCAGAAGAGCCGCAGUGAAUAGGCCCAAGCGACUGUUUAUCAAAAACACAGGUCUCUGCUAAACCGUAAGGUGAUGUAUAGGGGCUGACGCCUGCCCGGUGCUGGAAGGUUAAGAGGAGUGGUUAGCUUCUGCGAAGCUACGAAUCGAAGCCCCAGUAAACGGCGGCCGUAACUAUAACGGUCCUAAGGUAGCGAAAUUCCUUGUCGGGUAAGUUCCGACCCGCACGAAAGGCGUAACGAUUUGGGCACUGUCUCAACGAGAGACUCGGUGAAAUCAUAGUACCUGUGAAGAUGCAGGUUACCCGCGACAGGACGGAAAGACCCCGUGGAGCUUUACUGUAGCCUGAUAUUGAAAUUCGGCACAGCUUGUACAGGAUAGGUAGGAGCCUUUGAAACGUGAGCGCUAGCUUACGUGGAGGCGCUGGUGGGAUACUACCCUAGCUGUGUUGGCUUUCUAACCCGCACCACUUAUCGUGGUGGGAGACAGUGUCAGGCGGGCAGUUUGACUGGGGCGGUCGCCUCCUAAAAGGUAACGGAGGCGCUCAAAGGUUCCCUCAGAAUGGUUGGAAAUCAUUCAUAGAGUGUAAAGGCAUAAGGGAGCUUGACUGCGAGACCUACAAGUCGAGCAGGGUCGAAAGACGGACUUAGUGAUCCGGUGGUUCCGCAUGGAAGGGCCAUCGCUCAACGGAUAAAAGCUACCCCGGGGAUAACAGGCUUAUCUCCCCCAAGAGUUCACAUCGACGGGGAGGUUUGGCACCUCGAUGUCGGCUCAUCGCAUCCUGGGGCUGUAGUCGGUCCCAAGGGUUGGGCUGUUCGCCCAUUAAAGCGGUACGCGAGCUGGGUUCAGAACGUCGUGAGACAGUUCGGUCCCUAUCCGUCGUGGGCGUAGGAAAUUUGAGAGGAGCUGUCCUUAGUACGAGAGGACCGGGAUGGACAUACCUCUGGUGUACCAGUUGUCGUGCCAACGGCAUAGCUGGGUAGCUAUGUGUGGACGGGAUAAGUGCUGAAAGCAUCUAAGCAUGAAGCCCCCCUCAAGAUGAGAUUUCCCAACUUCGGUUAUAAGAUCCCUCAAAGAUGAUGAGGUUAAUAGG
rnacentral:rRNA from 1 species